rnacentral:rRNA from 1 species
GACGAACGCUGGCGGCGUGCUUAACACAUGCAAGUCGAACGGAAAGGCCCUGCUUGCAGGGUACUCGAGUGGCGAACGGGUGAGUAACACGUGGGUGAUCUGCCCUGCACUUCGGGAUAAGCCUGGGGAACUGGGUCUAAUACCGGAUAGGAGCCAUUUUUAGUGUGAUGGUUGGAAAGUUUUUUCGGUGGAGGGUGAGCUCGCGGCCUAUCAGCUUGUUGGUGGGGUAAUGGCCUACCAAGGCGGCGACGGGUAGCCGGCCUGGGGGGGUGGACGGCCACAUUGGGACUUAGAUACGGCCCAGACUCCUACGGGGGGCAGCAGUGGGGAAUAUUGCACAAUGGGCGCAAGCCUGAUGCAGCGACGCCGCGUGGGGGAUGACGGCCUUCGGGUUGUAAACUCCUUUCGCUAGGGACGAAGCUUUUUGUGACGGUACCUAGAUAAGAAGCACCGGCUAACUACGUG